rnacentral:rRNA from 1 species
UUCCACAGCCAUAUCACCCUGCAGCCCAAGACCGGUUACUCACUAAAGCUAAGCAGGGCUGAGCCUGGUUAGUACCUGGAUGGGAGACCACUAGGGAACACUAGGUUGCUGUUGGAA